rnacentral:rRNA from 1 species
UACGUAGGUGGCGAGCGUUGUCCGGAUUUACUGGGCGUAAAGGGCGCGUAGGCGGGAUGGCAAGUCAGUCGUGAAAUCUCUCGGCUCAACCGAGAAACGUCGGCUGAUACUGCCGUUCUUGAGGGAUGCAGAGGAGACUGGAAUUCCCGGUGUAGCGGUGAAAUGUGUAGAGAUCGGGAGGAACACCGGUGGCGAAGGCGGGUCUCUGGGCAUUUCCUGACGCUGAGGCGCGAAAGCGUGGGGAGCAAACGGG